AUUAGCAUUGUCCUAUCUGCAGGAUUGAAAACAAGAAAGCCAGAGAAUCCCCAUGUUCCUUUCGAUAGAAAGAAAUAAUUAGAAUUGUUCCCUAGCUAGCAGAUGGCCAGAAAUACCUUCUGUGUUUCCACAAACACGUCCCAUCGAUUGCUUCAAAGUGAAUGAACGUAACCAGCACGCAGCACAGAGAUCUGCCAUCCCCGCCGAUCAGAGCCCACAAAGCACACUCUGUGCUCGCUGACAUUGGCGGAGCGGAGGGGAACGUGAAUGAGAAAACCGCUGCAUACCUGCUAUUCAAGUGCCCCGAAGGUUGGUGCUUCAGCUACACGUCCCAUGUCGCCCGGUGGUUCUCAUCCAGCUGUCUGACUGGGCAACCGAGCAGAUCACCUUCCUUUAAUUAGAACCAACUGUUCCUCAUCAUUUACAACGAGAGAUAGCAAACGAGGAGAGGAGAGAUGUAUGCCUAGCAGUGAUUAAGAAAAAUUCAACAACCCCAUUGAGAACACCUGGAUGACGUUUGAAACAGACUAUUAGGGUUUCUUCCAAGCGUGCACGUAAGCUUUGUCCAACAGGAGCUGACUCAGACGCAGUGCGGUUCCAUCACUGCUCCCAGCUGGCUCUUGGCAGACCUCGUCUUGGUUUCAGCACAACUCUCAGAAGACACUGAUAAUGAAAAUUACUACUGGAAAGAGAUGGCCAGCUUUUUUGCACUGCUCACAUAGAAGAUGUGUGCUCUGGACUUCUCAUCCGGACUCUUGAAAUAUUGUGUUAAAAGAAAUCAUCAAAAGAAAUCCCUAAAACCUUCAAACUCAUAACCUGAUGGCGUGUGCUUUUGUUAAGGGUGUGUUGAACUAUCCUGUUAUUAUUCAAGGAACAAUCAAGAUGGCAUCUCUUUAAGCUACAUUGAUUCAAACUCUCACAGACUGACACAGACAGAGCAGAGAGUGCAAAUUAAUAUGGUGAGGGAUGGUGCACACUUAAACCACGCUUUGAAACAACACACUGCUCCAGAAGGCGGUCUGCUGAGAACACCCUCAUCUCAUUUAACUGAAAUUAAUUGAAAUUAAACGAAUUCUCAAUACGUCAAAAGAGAUUGUAAAAAGAACAAUGUGCAUUGCAAACCCCUCCACCUCAGCAGCCAUUAUGUUUAAAGGAAAUCUGUGAUCUGCAACCAAUUAGGAGCAAAAUGGUUGUAAAAUAUUUAAUUUGCGAGUAGCAUUUUAAAUUCAGUAACAGCUCUAGCAAAAUGGGUAAGUAAAUGACAUUAAUCACUCUUGAUACUAAAUUAUCCCUAUUUUGCUUCCAAGACAGGAAUCAGACUGGGCGAUGUUUUCUAUUAGUUAAAUACAUCCAUAAUCCAAUGAAAGCCUAGGAGGCCAUUUAACUAAUAGGAAUUUCAACAUCCUUGCUGUUCCUUUAUUUUGCGUGCUUUUUAAAGGUCGUAUAACCGUUUUAAAGACUCACCCCUUGAUGUUUCAGCAGAGGUAGUAAGCGUUGUUUUCCCGAUAAGAGCGAUUUCAGACAGGUAGAACAACGUUUCCUGCAGUGAAGACUAAACACCAAGCUCAUUUGAAAUGAUUUUAACAACUCCAUGGCCUAGAGGAAAAUACUGCUCUCUGGCCUACAACACCAGCACUUCGGUUUGGUUUUGUUGUUGUUCUUGCUUUUGUUUCAAAGAGGAAGAAUUUUUGGUGGGUUACAUAAGGCAAUAAAAUGU